UAAUGCUCAGGUGACCACCAGAUUCCUACCGCUGGGUGUCUGGGGUUUCAUCAGGAUUCCCCAGGUCAAGGGCAACUGGGGAGCAGCCCCAGCAGGCAUAUAGAAUUCCAGCCCCUAACUAUCUCAGUGUGCUUCCUACAAGCCCCUCAAAUGCUCCUAGGGGCCAGCCGCCAGAACCCUGUAAUGGAGCCCUCAAUUCCUUUCUAAGGGAAAACCUUCAGACCAAAUGCUCUGGAAAGAAACUGCUCAGAGGCUAAGAAUAGACAUGGCAGGUGGGAGCCCCGGGGUGGCAGCGGGUGGACUGUGCCUGCACUGUCCAUCUGCUCUCCCCGGGGGUGGCUUGAGCUCAGAUAACUGUGGGCAGGCAUUUCGGAAACUCCAAUCUAGGCUGACAAUCCAUGGGAAAGAGCCAGCUGCCUCCCAGGCACAACUGUCACCAUAGUAUAAAUCAGAGGCCAAGGGGUCCUUAGAGAAAUGCAUUUUUUUUCUAACGUUAUCAAGGAGCCAGUACAAAAUGCCACUCACAUUCUUAAAGUAACUUGGAGGAAAACUGUAUGCAGCCUCUCAGAUAGAGGAUAAGAACGGCGCAAUAGCCCCUGGAAGGCUGAGGGAGCAUGACAGAAGAGGGCCUCUUACGUUCUCAUGGGAGCGUCACUGGCUGAGAUCUUGGACAGUUGGGCAAUUUUUGAAAUACACAAAUCCUUUGCUCUACCAACCCCGGCCUACACAACAUCUACCCACAGAAAUCUUGGCUCAAGCAAACAAGGAUAGAGAGCCCUGUGACCAUCAACAAAACAGCUACAAGAAGCACCCAGGCCACGUGACCAGACCUGAGCUGGCUUUGGGUCUCAGAUACUUGGAGGAGCCCAGCAAAAUCAGCAAAGCGGACCUGCAGUUGAUGGCAGAUACAUGGGAAUGCUCAGCCAGGAGCAGAGGCUCAUUUGCUGAGCCCAGUGAAGCUGAUGAUAUGCAAAGUGUAAGCUAAGUAAAUGCCUUAUUUUUA